GCGAACGCUGGCGGCAGGCCUAACACAUGCAAGUCGAACGAACCUUUCGGGGUUAGUGGCGGACGGGUGAGUAACACGUGGGAACGUGCCUUUAGGUUCGGAAUAACUCAGGGAAACUUGUGCUAAUACCGAAUGUGCCCUUCGGGGGAAAGAUUUAUCGCCUUUAGAGCGGCCCGCGUCUGAUUAGCUAGUUGGUUGAGGUAAUGGCUCACCAAGGCGACGAUCAGUAGCUGGUCUGAGAAGAUGAUCAGCCACAUUGGGACUGAGACACGGCCCAAACUCCUACGGGAGGCAGCAGUGGGGAAUCUUGCGCAAUGGGCGAAAGCCUGACGCAGCCAUGCCGCGUGAAUGAUGAAGGUCUUAGGAUUGUAAAAUUCUUUCACCGGGGACGAUAAUGACGGUACCCGGAGAAGAAGCCCCGGCUAACUUCGUG
rnacentral:rRNA from 1 species